rnacentral:rRNA from 1 species
UACGUAGGGACCAAGCGUUGUUCGGAUUUACUGGGCGUAAAGGGCGCGUAGGCGGCCAGCGCAAGUCAGUUGUGAAAUCUCCGAGCUUAACUCGGAAAGGUCAACUGAUACUGCGCGGCUAGAGUGCAGAAGGGGCAACUGGAAUUCUCGGUGUAGCGGUGAAAUGCGUAGAUAUCGAGAGGAACACCUGCGGCGAAGGCGGGUUGCUGGGCUGACACUGACGCUGAGGCGCGAAAGCUAGGGGAGCGAACGGG